ensembl:snRNA U6 U6 spliceosomal RNA
AUGCUCUGUUUGGCAGCAUAUAUACUAAAAUUAGAAUGAUACAAAAAGAUUAUCAUGACUCCCACACAAUGAUGACAAGCAAAUUUGUGAUGUGUUCCACAUAGUU